GACGAACGCUGGCGGCGUGCCUAAUACAUGCAAGUAGAACGCUGAAGGAGGAGCUUGCUUCUCUGGAUGAGUUGCGAACGGGUGAGUAACGCGUAGGUAACCUGCCUGGUAGCGGGGGAGAACUAUUGGAAACGAUAGCUAAUACCGCAUAAUAGUAGAUGUUGCAUGACAUUUGCCUAAAAGGUGCAAUUGCAUCACUACCAGAUGGCCCUGCGUUGUAUUAGCUAGUUGGUGGGGUAACGGCUCACCAAGGCGACGAUACAUAGCCGACCUGAGAGGGUGAUCGGCCACACUGGGACUGAGACACGGCCCAGACUCCUACGGGAGGCAGCAGUAGGGAAUCUUCGGCAAUAGACGGAAGUCUGACCGAGCAACGCCGCGUGAGUGAAGAAGGUUUUCGGAUCGUAAAGCUCUGUUGUAAGAGAAGAAAGAGUGUGAGAGUGGAAAGUUCACACUGUGACGGUAUCUUACCAGAAAGGGACGGCUAACUACGUG
rnacentral:rRNA from 1 species